GACCACCUGUUGGCUUCCCGCCAUGGGAUUUGCCAUCUACCCUGUAAUCUCGCGAGUCCUCCAAGUUUAGAUGAGGUUAUAAAUUGUAGCGAGGUGUGCUGAGAAAUGGCAAAUUUAUGCAAAAGCAGCAAAUAAUUACGGCCCUAAGUCGCUCCCCGGCAGUAGCUGCUCACCGUACGCUUUAUGAGGUGACAAAGAACCAUGGCACUGCGCAGACGGGGGACUCAUUUUACGUCAGGACUUGCACCCGGUAACUUCCGCCCUCCUGGAAGGAACGUCAGCUGGUCUUCCAGGUGUUCUACUGGCUACCUCGGCCCUCGGCCUCAUCUCUGUAGCCUUAUUGUUUCUGCCUUGGAGGACGUUCGUUCCUUCAAGCUGUAGGGAUGUCGUUCUCAUUUCACUGAGGGGGAAACUCAGGGCGAUGGAGAAAGAGAAGAUGACCUGCCCAGCUGCGUAGAGUAGUGCAGUUAGGACGCAGAGCCCCGACCUAAUGAAGAUUCUGUGUCGUGUCGGCUUUAUCCACUUGCUGAGGCGUUAGUCUCCUCCUCCCAGGGUUGCUGCUGCUGCUGCUGCUUUAGGUCAAGCCUCAAUCACUCCUGCUGUUCCCAGGGUCUCAGCCACCCACCCUGUGAGCACCGUGCGAGGCUGAGGACCAGGUGUUGAAUGGGGCGGGCAUCCCUCCGCCCUCGUGGAGUUACGCUGAUCGCGUACACAAAGGAGAAUUAGAGACUCAAGUUGUGAUUAAAAAAAAAAUACAGGAUGUGUUAAAAGAGAAUAUUGGACAGGACCCACACUAGAUUGAGAAAUGAGGGGAAAGGGAAAGUUUGAGUGAGACUUAAAGGCUGAGAAAACUGAAGCUCUGUAAUGAUUCAAGCAGCAAAGUCUCAAGAGCUCUAUAUUUGGGCACGCAAGGAACUCAGAGGAGGCCCCGGUGACUGGAGCACAGAAAGUAGAGGAAGAAUGGAACAAAUUGAGCCUGGCCUCCCUUUCUCCACCCUUACCUUUUCUAAACUGCCCCCACAUUGGGAAUACAGAAACAUUUCCAGAACUCAAAUA
rnacentral:lncRNA from 1 species